UACAGAGGUGGCAAGCGUUGUUCGGAAUUACUGGGCGUAAAGGGCGCGUAGGCGGCUUGGUCAGUCCCGUGUGAAAUCCCUCGGCUCAACUGAGGAACUGCACGGGAAACUGCCUGGCUUGAGUUCGGGAGAGGGAAGCGGAAUUCCGGGUGUAGCGGUGAAAUGCGUAGAUAUCUGGAGGAACACCGGUGGCGAAGGCGGCAUCCUGGACCAACAUUGACGCUGAGGAGCGAAAGCCAGGGGAGCAAACGGG
rnacentral:rRNA from 1 species